GGUGUGAGUGUCGUCUGCUUUUGUUUAGUUGAAAAUUUCGAAAAAGUCAGAGACAAAGUUCAAGAUUUAUACUAUAAUAGAAUUAUUUAUUUUUGAUAACCGUCAUACUCCAUGCUGUUUAGCGGAUUUGAGGCUGGAGCCAUCAUAACCGCACAAUAUGCAAGUUUUUCUUGUGCAGGUGUUAACCUGUCACCAUCAACAAUCUCAGGUUCAUCGGUUGGAUAAGAAGCAUCCCUUUGCAUUAGAAAAACUACCGACGUCGGCCGAGUUCCGGAUCUCUCAUUUUCCCCUUUCUUUAAAUGUCCUCGUGUACGCCCAUGUGAAUGUGGGUGUAUUCACGAGGACUCCCUUUACCCUAUCUCGUCUGGUGCAAUUUAACUCUUCAUCGGAUGAUGGAGUCAACUAUAGAUGCCUGGCUGUAUUUCCCAGGCAUAAAGGUAGGAGACAAAAUUGAUCUCUAUUCUUCCUUUAUGACAAUUUUUUGGUGGGUUUGAUUAUGAAUCGUUGCGUAGUCACGGAGUAUGUUUCUUCCUGAGCUAGGCGUGUUGACUGCAAUUGUUUUCUCCUCUCCAUUUUUGUUUUUUUCUCAGUCAGGGUUCAUUAAAAAUCUCAUUUGUUGAACGACUGUAGAUCAGGCUUGUUUUGUUUUGUACCUCACAUUUUUUUCUGUGGUUAAACCAUAUUCACAUUCAAAAAUAUUUGAACUUUAAACAUUUGAAGCAAAGUGCAACAAGACCAAGAGGGACGUGCAGCCACACUGGCACCUUCUCGUUCAUUUAUGGGAAAACCACGAAAAUAAUCUUACGUAACAGAACCUCCGUCAGGGUGAAUUAACUCACGUGAAUGUAAAAAUAUCUCAAGGCUAUGCCAAACCCGUGCAGACUGUGCAUGCACCUUUUGUUUGCUAUUGCUAAGCAGCGCUAGCUAGACGCUACACA